rnacentral:rRNA from 1 species
UACGAAGGGGGCUAGCGUUGCUCGGAAUCACUGGGCGUAAAGGGUGCGUAGGCGGGUCUUUAAGUCAGGGGUGAAAUCCUGGAGCUCAACUCCAGAACUGCCUUUGAUACUCAAGAUCUUGAGUUCGGGAGAGGUGAGUGGAACUGCGAGUGUAGAGGUGAAAUUCGUAGAUAUUCGCAAGAACACCAGUGGCGAAGGCGGCUCACUGGCCCGAUACUGACGCUGAGGCACGAAAGCGUGGGGAGCAAACAGG